rnacentral:rRNA from 1 species
AAUAUUGGACAAUGGGCGCAAGCCUGAUCCAGCCAUGCCGCGUGUGUGAAGAAGGCCUUCGGAUUGUAACGCACUUUCGGUUGGGAGGAAGGGUCGUAGACUAAUACCCUGCACUGUUGACGGUACCGACAGAAUAAGCACCGGCUAACUUCGUGCCAGCAGCCGCGGUAAUACGUAGGGUGCAAGCGUUAAUCGGAAUUACUGGGCGUAAAGCGUGCGCAGGCGGUUGAUUAAGACAGGCGUGUAAUCCCCGGGCUUAACCUGGGAACUGCGCUUGUGACUGGUCAGCUAGAGUACGGCAGAGGGGGGUGGAAUUCCACGUGUAGCAGUGAAAUGCGUAGAGAUGUGGAGGAACACCGAUGGCGAAGGCAGCCCCCUGGGCCGAUACUGACGCUCAUGCACGAAAGCGUGGGUAGCAAACAGG